GUCAACAGGUUUGGAACAACUUGUUGACAACUUGUAACAACCUUGUCGAAAUUAUCAGACUUGUUGCAAGGUUGUUCUGACAAGUCCGUUACAUGCUUGAUAUAACAAGAUUGUUACAACCUUGUGUUGACAACCUUGUAACAUCGUUGUUACAUCAUAGCUGUAACAAACUUGUUAGCACAGUUUUGUAACAAGGCUGAUAAUGCCAUCAAGCUUGUUCCAAGUUGUUAACAGCUUGUUUCAAACUUGUUAGC